rnacentral:rRNA from 1 species
GGGCGAAGCCUGAUGCAGCACGCCGCGUGAGGGAUGACGGCCUUCGGGUUGUAAACCUCUUUUAGCAGGGAAGAAGCGAGAGUGACGGUACCUGCAGAAAAAGCACCGGCUAACUACGUGCCAGAGCCGCGGUAAUAAG